rnacentral:rRNA from 1 species
GGGGGGAUAUUGCACAAUGGGCGAAAGCCUGAUGCAGCGACGCCGCGUGGGGGAUGAAGGCUUUCGGGUUGUAAACCUCUUUCGCUAUCGAACAAGGCCCGCUUAGGGUGGGUUGAGGGUAGGUGGAGAAGAAGCGCCGGCUAACUACGUGCCAGCAGCCGCGGUAAUACGUAGGGCGCGAGCGUUGUCCGGUAUUAUUGGGCGUAAAGGGCUUGUAGGCGGCUUGUGGCGCGUGCUGGGAAAACGCGGGGGUUAACGUGGCGCGUGCAGUGGGUGCGGGCAGGCUUGAGUGUGGUAGGGGGGACUGGAAUUCCAGGUGUAGCGGUGGAAUGCGCAGAUAUCUGGAAGAACACCGAUGGCGAAGGCAGGUCACUGGGCCGUUACUGACGCUGAGGAGCGAAAGCAUGGGUAGCGAAAAGG